UCCAGAGGGGGCAAGCGUUGUUCGGAAUUAUUGGGCGUAAAGGGCUCGUAGGCGGUUUGUCGCGUCGGGAGUGAAAACUCAGGGCUUAACCCUGAGCCUGCUUCCGAUACGGGCAGACUAGAGGUAUGCAGGGGAGAACGGAAUUCCUGGUGUAGCGGUGAAAUGCGUGGAUAUCGAGAGGAACACCUGCGGCGAAGGCGGGUUGCUGGGCCGACACUGACGCUGAUGCGCGAAAGCCAGGGGAGCGAACGGG
rnacentral:rRNA from 1 species